UCUCUUGCUCUGUCACCCAGGCUGGAGUGGCAGUGUUGCAAUCUCGGCUCACUGCAACCUCUGCCUCCCAGGUUCAAGUAACUGGGACUACAGGUGUGCGUCACCAUGCCUGGGUAAUUUUAAAUUUUUGAUAGAGACAGGGUCUCGCUAUGUUUCCCAGGCUGUAUUACUGUCUUUGAUUACAUAGGUCAGUGACAACAGGGAACUAGGUCUCACAGUGACCUGCUAUGGACUUCAGAGAUUCCUUGGCAAGGCAUUGUCGAAAAUAUAAGGUUCAUGUUGAAGUUGUCAUAAAAUUUUUAUGUAGCUGUAUAAAUGUGGACAGCAGAUAUAAAAAUAAGGAAUACCUUAGACUUCUGUAAGCCAGAUAUAAGUACCUACCUAAGAUGCUAGAAAUGAUAUUCUAAUUUAAAUUUUUUUUUUAAUUUUUAGAGAUGGGGUCUUGCUAUGUUGCCCAGGCUGGAGUAGAGUGGCUAUUCACAGGCAUAAUUAUA
rnacentral:lncRNA from 10 species